AACUGCUUGUUCUUCAUAAAAGGGAAGGAAGUGACUCAGACAGGAGAAAUGCUGCAGUGGGGACUGUUGACAAUCUUCAGGCUGAUAGAAAAAGAAAUUGCUCGAAUAUAAGGUUGACCCUGCAGAAGAUUCUGGUAAAUGAUGUCACUAUGGGUACUGCGUCCCUUUGAGGACUCCGGGUCUGUGACCUGAUGAGUUGAUGUAGCAGUGGGACUAGUUUGCCUUUUGCUUGGAUGCAGGCACUGGCAGAGUGCUAGAUGGUUUCAUGCUAAGCUGAUGGAAUGGAAUGUGUCUGGAAGGUGGUGGGGACGUUUGAUAAUGGAUGAUGAGGAAGUUUUGCCAUGACAUCACGAAGUCUCACUAUUGAGGAUGUGAGUAAAAUGUAAAUGCAGCCACUGUAAUCUAGAGGGAUUUUGACAACAUCUUUGUAAGGUUAUUGUGCUCUAAAUAAUGUUAAAACAUGGACUUUAUGUAAAUGUAAAUGAACUGAUGUUUAGCUAUUGGGAUAAGAUACUGCAGAUGUACUGUGGGAUACGUAUAAAUGAAUGCGUAACCUAGAUGCUUUGAGUUAUAAAAGAUGGUACUUUGACCAUCUGUCAGCAGUUUUCUUUUACCCGGCUAAGGAAAUUGUGAAUAUGAAAUGAAAUAACAGCUUAUUAGCAAGUGUUUGGAUUGUAAGAAUGUGUUUUGAUUUUUGUAAUAAAGAAUCUUAACUCUACCUCCUAGUUUUUGCUGAAGUAAACCUUUGAUUUUCAGGAAUUAUUUUUAGUUUGGGUAGAAUUGAUCAUAAGAGAAGAGUAGGGAUUAAAUCUUGUCUAAUCUCAAGUUAGGACAGUGGUCAACGUGCUAGCAAUUUCUGCCUUGCUAAAGAAUUCCCAUUGGUAGGAAACCAUAGAGCAGCUGUAGAUGGGUUUUCAGAACUUAUUACAGUAAUAGCUUUAACAAAAAGCUAUGAAAACUUCAAUGAAAAAAAAAAACCCACAAAACAUCAGGUCAACACAUGGGCAGGUUUGCCUGCUUUUUUAUGAUCCAGAAAAACAGCUUUCGUACCAAGCAGAACAAAAAGGCUCCCAACCCUAUAUGCUCAUAUUAGAUGAAGGUGAAUCCCUAAAACAGAGCCACUUCUUCCUGCUUACACAAGCUUUCCCUCCUACGUGACUUCAUAGCAACUGCAGGGGAACUGUUAGGUUACAGGCUGAACUGGUAAUUAAACAGCUGGUGAAGGAGCAUGGCUGGCCCAGGGAGCACAGGCAAAUUGUUUUCACCUGUGCUCUCCACAGGACUAGAAAUUGUGGACCCAGAGUGGCCCCACCCUGGGCUCAUAUAAGGAUCAGCCACAAAAAGGAGAGCAUCUCUUGGACUUUGGUUGCUUUUUGUGUAGGAGUGUUUUAUGUCCAGUGAGCCUCUUUCCAAGUUGGGUGAGUUAGACUCUUCUUAGUAUGUGAAUAGCAUUGUUUUUCUCUGUGAUCUUGCUUUACAGAAGCUCUGAGGUUGCAGUAACCUACUUUUAUCUAUACAUCCACCAUGUGCAAGGACUUUUUCUCAGGUUUCACGUGAAUUGUUAUGAGUUAUAGUGUACCGGGAUAGAAAACUGCUUAUUAUGGCAUAACAAGAAUGGGAAUUUGCCAGACUAGAGGAAAACAGCUAAAAGGUUGGCCAAGGGCUACUGGGAGGCAGCUGAUGAUAGGAAACUUAGGAGGAAUUAAGUGGUGUAAGACCACCAUAGGCCCCUACCAUACAUGCCCAGAGGGACAUUAGCAUACAUUACUGACUUCUUGGAAGAUAAUGCAUAUAUCUGCUAGUGUAUUGUAUACGUAUGUCUUAACUGUUUAAAUGCAGAACCUGAACUCUGAGCAUGUGCUUGACUUAUCAGGUUGCCUCGUACGUAUUGUGAAUAAACGGAAUGCUGGCUUUCUAAC
ensembl:lncRNA